rnacentral:rRNA from 1 species
CCUACGGGAGGCAGCAGUGAGGAAUAUUGGACAAUGGGCGCAAGCCUGAUCCAGCCAUGCCGCGUGCAGGAAGACGCAUCUAUGGUGUGUAAACUGCUUUUGUACGGGAAGAAACACUCCCUCGUGAGGGAGCUUGACGGUACCGUAAGAAUAAGGAUCGGCUAACUCCGUGCCAGCAGCCGCGGUAAUACGGAGGAUCCAAGCGUUAUCCGGAAUCAUUGGGUUUAAAGGGUCCGUAGGCGGUUUAAUAAGUCAGUGGUGAAAAAGGCCCCCAAUUCGGCUUUCAAACCGGGAAUUGGAAACGGGCCCCAAUUUGGAUAACCGGUUUAGGAACCUUUGGAAUUUUACCNGGGAAGUAAACCUUGGAAAUAAUGUAA